CCUACGGGAGGCAGCAGUGGGGAAUUUUGGACAAUGGGGGCAACCCUGAUCCAGCAAUGCCGCGUGUGUGAAGAAGGCCUUCGGGUUGUAAAGCACUUUUGUCAGGAACGAAACGGUUGAGGUUAAUACCCUUGGCUAAUGACGGUACCUGAAGAAUAAGCACCGGCUAACUACGUGCCAGCAGCCGCGGUAA
rnacentral:rRNA from 1 species